rnacentral:rRNA from 1 species
UGGGGAAUAUUGCACAAUGGGCGCAAGCCUGAUGCAGCAACGCCGCGUGAACGAUGAAGGUCUUCGGAUCGUAAAGUUCUGUUGCAGGGGAAGAUAAUGACGGUACCCUGUGAGGAAGCCCCGGCUAACUACGUGCCAGCAGCCGCGGUAAUACGUAGGAGGCUAGCGUUAUCCGGAUUUACUGGGCGUAAAGGGUGCGUAGGUGGUCUUUCAAGUCGGUGGUUAAAGGCUACGGCUCAACCGUAGUUAGCCUCCGAAACUGGAAGACUUGAGUGCAGGAGAGGAAAGUGGAAUUCCCAGUGUAGCGGUGAAAUGCGUAGAUAUUGGGAGGAACACCAGUAGCGAAGGCGGCUUUCUGGACUGCAACUGACACUGAGGCACGAAAGCGUGGGUAGCAAACAGG